rnacentral:misc_RNA from 1 species
UUUCCGUAGGUGAACCUGCGGAAGGAUCAUUACCGAGUUUGGGACCCUUUGGGUACCAUCUCCCACCAUUUGUGAACCUUUUUCGUUGCCUCGGCGGGUCUGAUGUACCCAUCCUUCGGCUUUUGCUGGGGAGUACCUGCCGAUGGAUUUUCAAACCAGAUUUUAACCUACCAUCUGAGUUCAACAAAAUAAAAACAAAACUUUCAACAACGGAUCUCUUGGUUCUGGCAUCGAUGAAGAACGCAGC